ensembl:lncRNA
CCCCGGCCCCCUCCCCACUCCAGUGUCUGGCUUUCCCUCUCCCGGGCAGGACAUUUGAUGUGAUGAAAAUCCUCUGUGGCAAUGAGGAGCCUGUGUGAGAGGCCUCGGCCUUGCCAGCUGUUUCUGGAGAAAUCGCCGUCUGUGCCUGUCGUCAUGUAACAUAGGCCCCAUUCACCAGAGACAUUCUUGAGUGUGCAUUUAUGCCUCUGCCGGGUGCGCAGCCUGCGAUGGGGGUGGGCAGCAGGGAGAGGCGGCGGCGAGGGGCGUCCCCGCGCCCCCAGUCAGUGCCCGUGGGGUCCAGAGGUGUUGCCUCCUGAAGCAUCCACAGCUCAUUAGCCUUAGGGAUGUCCUGUGGCCGUCAGCUCGGGGGAGCCGAGCUCUCGAGAAGGCAGCUCUGAUCUGACAUGAGUUCUGUGUGGUGUUUGUGUCGAACCCCUCCGUAAACAUACCAUAUAUAGUCACGAGGAGCCACUGUAACACACGCUGCAGGGGAGCCUCUCCCGACGCGCCGCCCGGCGCCCAGAAGCAGGCUCGGCUAUUUCUGGCUUGUCGCCGCUUUCCUUUUUCUCCUUUGGAGGGAGGAGGCAGGAGGCGUCUCUUUUCUUUCUGAUCCUCACCCUGUUUGAAGCAUGUUUCUGAUGCUAGUGUGUCUGGCACGGUGAAAACUCAAGAAACUGUAUUGUCACAUGAGGAGAGACCGGAUUCUCUUUGUACAUCUGUUUUAGAACAGAACCCUUGUUUUUCUUGGUACCUCUCACACAACACACGGCUCAUGUUUCAUGGCCCCUGGUCCUCCACUGCUUGUUUCUGGAGCAUCCUGUAACGCUGUGAGGGUGAGCUCCCCCCGGAGCACGUUACUGUCGUGGCCGGAGGAGAAGUUGCUCUUGUGUUUCCUCAGCAUCCUUGCUGGGCCGUGCCCACGCGUUUACAACACCUCACCUUCACUCGCGAGGCCCGGGCACCAGCUCUCUGCCGAGCCCAGGGCAGCGGUUCUCCGCCUGGCAGGGCUGGCUCUGUGGAGCAAAGGAGACCGUAAUAAGAAAGAAAUGCAGUGAGUGUGUGUGUGUGUGUGUGUGUGUGUGUGUGUGUCUCUGUCUCUGUCUCUGUCUCUGUGUGUGUCUGUCUCUGUGUGUGUGUCUCUGUGUGUGUUUAAUCCCCCUGGAAUACCUAGGCCACAGCACUUCAGCCUGUGGGAGGGAGGGAGGCAUUUGUGGUUCAGAUAGAGACUUCUUCCUCUUGUUUCCCUUCUUUUCCUUCCUUCUCCCCCCCUCCCUCCAAAGGCCGCGGGGCACCUUCUCAGGCCUCGGGUAUGGAUGGCCCUGGGGGAGCGGCGGCCUGGUCUGCCGCGCUGGGGAGUUUGGCUGUUGCGUCAAGAGUCGAGAGUCGAGUCGGGCGCCUCUGUUCCUUGUGUUCUGUCAUGGGCCUCAUCAGCGUGAACUGUAUCUGACUGUGUGACAGUUAAUUGUACCAUCCUUCCCGUUUCUUAAGCUGAUAAGCCCCUUUCUGUCUGCCUACAUCAAGCCUCUUUGUUUGAGAACUUCCUAACACAGUAGAAGAACAAAGCGACAGUUUUCUUAUUUACUGAAGUCUCUAAGGCACAUUUAUUAUGCUCUUUAUUGUUACCUUUUUUUUAUAUAACCUCAUUCCUUUAACUUAUAUAAUUGAAGUGUUCCAAGUAGUACAAAGUUAAAACUUCCCUAAAAAAUAUCAGUGUGUCCAGGAUAGAAAAAAAUAUAUAUAUAUUUUUUAGGCUGUGUCUUUUCAUGUCAAGCUCUUAACAGUGCCUGGUAGAUAAUGUUCAGAAUAAGACACUGGGUACUGCCGGAGUACCAGUUACCAGUUAUGGAAGCAGCAGUUGCUUAGCUAGUAUUCAGUUGACUCAAUAGUAAUAUAUCACUUAUGUGCAGGUCACUUAUUUGGCAUUCUGAGGUCCAGAAUCUUUAGCCUGUGCCGGGGUGGGGGUGGGGGGGGGAUAUGCAAAAUAGAGCUUGCAAGAAGCCAGGCAGGUUUAGGAAGUUUUAGUACUAAGACUCCUCCCCUUGAUUCCUGAUGGUCCUUUUAGACCCACACUUUAUUUAGCACUGUUUAUUCUCACUGUAGAUACAGUCCUCACCACCUUGUCUCCCGUUUUUCCAGUCAACAAGAAAUCAGAGGCCAGAUUGGUGGUUGGGGGUGAAAAACACCAUCAGAAGGAGAGGUUCCGAGAGCCACACGAGAAAAGCUCUCAGGAGGUGAGACAGGCGCACUCACACAGCACAGCUGGUCCCAAGUGGACAGAGGCACCGUCUGUGCUGUUUCUUACAGCUGCCUCUGUACCCACACGCUCUCAGUAACAGUUUCAGUGAAAAAGACAGAACGCAUGGCCGACCGAGGCCCCGGGUGGUGUAGGAGCAGCGCCCUUGUGUAAUGGUUGUUCAUUGUAGUGAUCCUGAGUCAUCACCCAGAAAGGCUUGAUUAAUCAUACGUUGAUUCACCUCGCUGUGCUUAAGGGGAUGAGGAAGUUUGAAAGAUACUUCAGAGAGAUUUACACCCAGGAGUUUUAUGUAGAAAAUGAACUUCUUGAUGCUUUCCCCCCUUACCUCCACAGUUCUCCUCAUUGAUACGCAGCUGCUCUAUGAGCUAACGUGCAGUGUUCGAACCCAGUGGGUUCAGAUAUAUACUAAAAUGUUACUUGUUGUGACCAACUUUGCAGGGAAAAAAAGUGACAGUAACAGAUUCAAACAAUGUUCAGAUGGUUUUAUGAGGGUUGCUUUUCUGUAUUCCUAGUGUGAAUUGUUCUUUCAUAUUUUUAAUUGAAAUAUUAAUACAGAGAAUGUCAUAGAGCUUUUAAAGCAGAGACUAGAGAAGUCCCUCCGUCUGGUGGCUACCACAGAUGUCAUGGUUACCCUGCGAGGUGGAGCCUCUGUGGAGAAGGAUGUCCAAGCGCAGAGGAAGCCUCAGAAAACUUAAAUAGUAAAAAAAAAAUUAAGUGUAAGUCAUCAAAGGACAAACAGAAGGAAGGAGUGUUCUUCCCCCCUGAUCCCAACUCGAGGCUCUUUCCAAGAACCAUAGGACUUAGGAGUUGGAAGGUCACUUAGAGGUCACUUAGCCUGAUUUUAGAAAUCUGCCUUUAUCUCGCUCAGUGUUCUUCCACGGUUCAAGUCUGUGCCUGUGGUGCUGCAUGGUUCCUUUGGCAGGAGGACUAAUACUAACUUGAAAAAUUAGAUGUGCUUACUUGGCGGAAAUGACUGUAUAUUUUUUAGUUUUUUGUUAAUUUUAUUCUCAGCAGCUCCAUUUUACAGAUGGAGACCCCUGUGGCACUCUGUGGUGGUACACCAAACAUCUCUUGGCAUCAUUAAGUACUUGCAGAUAUUUUCAUGGAAAUCCCAGAGUAGAAAACUCCCCAGGGUAACUCAUACCUACUAGUAGUUCCCAAGCAUUUUGAUUUUAUCUGCUUAAGUAUAGAGCAUUGCUGGGCCUGAACUUUAAUAAUCAUACUCAUAGAUGUAUUUUAAAUACAUAUUAGCUUCUAGCAGUAUUAAAUUUAUAUCUUUUGUGCACUUGGUUUUGCUUUUUUUUUUUUUUACCAAGAGAAAUUGUUCCUUUUAGAAAUGUGAUUAGUUUUAAAAUUUGGGUAUCCAUGGGAACUGCACCUCCUGGUUGCCAUGCUGAAGGUGGAAUGCAUUCUCUUAGAGUUGGAUGUUUGUGACUCUGUCAGGGAAGGAAAAUGUAUAUGAAUUGCGUGUAAGAAAUAAGAAUUAGGUCUCUGGAUGUUAGACACUCACAGCAGAUGGAAAAGCAGUAAAACCCAGUACUUUCCCGGAAGCGAGGAGCGGGUCUCAGGCUGCCCUUUGGGGUGUGGACAGUGCAGAGAGGGCUGCAGGCGGGAGGGGCGUGGCGGGGGUGGAAGGGCUUGGUCUCCUUCUCUGCUAUGGCCUAUGCAGGCCUGCAGCUCCUUGCGCUGGCUCGGUUGAGAUGGUGUCCACACGGCACCCACCGCGGACAGGCCUGCUCCGGGACACCUGUUGAGAGAUUGGGAUGGUGGGGCUGGAGGAGCAGGGAGGCAGCAUCCAGGCUCGGGUUUGAGCAGCCAGUGGCUGCCCGGAGCUCAGCCUGUGUGUGUCACAGAGGCCUCACCUGUGGGCCUGAAGGCUGCUGUGGAGUGGAAGGGAGCCAUCCAUUAAUACCCUGAUGUCCCCAGAGCACUCUAAAGACAUGUCAGAAAUUGUGGGUCUGUUAUUAGCAGCUCAGUCCAUCACAUUCACUGUUGCAGUGCUUCCCCUCCUUCACAUAAUCCUAAUGUUUUAUUGAAAGCAAGUGCUGUGGGUCUGCCUUAAAAGCCAACUGAAAUGGCUUUUCCUGGACAUCGAGUUAUUUAUAAGGGGGGACUUGAGACCCAAAGAGAAGAGUUGGGUCAGUGGAGUUAAGGUUGUUGGAGGAUUGAAGCAUUAACUUGAUGGCUGGUCUUAUCCAGGAUUUUGAGAUUUCAAGGAAAAGUGGACAAUGGCUGCUUGUGUCCGAGGGAUUCGGCCUGUCAUAUGAUCUGCAGACCAGUCCCCAAGUCGCCUUGCGGGCACCCGGGGCGUCCACGGAGACCGUGAGCUGUGGAGCGCAUGGGAUGGACUGGCUUGGAAAUUGUGGAGCCCAUAACUGGAUUUGGUCGUAGCCUCAGGUCUGCAUAAAAGUUGCACCUCACAGGGACGUGAUGUCUGUAUGGCCUGAGAUUUAUUACUUGGGCGCAAGGUGGAGGAGACAGCUGCAGGAGCUGUCGGGGGAGAGCCAUUCUGUAAAGGACCAGGACACGCAGACAGUGGGGAGGAAGGACUCGGCCACGCAGACCUCUUCGGGUAUAAGAAGUGGAGAGGGGCUUUGGGCUGUGUAAAGCAUCGUGUUUAUAAACCCCUGGCCCUUGACUUAUAGAUUGAUUCUCUCAAUAGGAACAGGAUCAUGGAAGAAAUAAACUGAACAAAUUAGACUGCAAAAUCACGAGACUGCUUUUCUCUGGCUCUCAUUUUCCGAACGCAGACCUUCCUAGUAUGUGUCCCUUGCGUAGCACACGGUGACUCUGACCUGUGGAUGCAUCAUGAACCAGCCGUGAUGCCCACUGUCAGCUCGCUUGCUGAAUAAGAGGAGUUUGGGGGGCCUUGCAGGAGGAUCCUGGCAGGGUGGAUGCGCUGCUGAAUUUCUCUAGUUCUGUGAUUACUAACAGAUAACUGAUUAUCUGAUCGCACAUUAUUCCUAUUCUCCUGUAUCCUAAGAGAAGGCUCCCCGGGGUUAUUAGCUCCUUAAUGAAAAGCAGAGAGGUAAACCCUGUUUUCUGCUUUACAUGGAGACUUUAUUGUUCUGCCUAGUGUCUCCAAGGUAGAUGUGAGAUUUUUAAAGAAAAUAGAAAUGUUUCAAUUUUCAGGUUUUUUUUUUUUUAAGGUGACUUUUUCAUGUCUCCUGUAAGAAGUGAAAAAAGAAAAAAAAAAAAUUUUCUCACCAGUAAAAUCCAGCAGUUGCUGAAUAGCUAUAAAACAUAUUAGAGAAAUUAGUGUUGGGCCUUCUUAUUUUUAGCUCUGAUUUUACAGCUGAGUUAUAAUAGGUGAGCAAAUGCAUUGUACGAGUGUUUACCUUUUUUUUUUCCUUUUUGGCCACGUGGAAGGACCUCAAGAGGUGGAAUGAGACACACCCAGAGCAUGAGGCGCUUGAGGGCCUAGGAACUUGAGAAGGCCCGGGCAGCAGGCUCUUCAGCUCAGCUCAGCUCAGCUCAGCUCUGCUGUGCUCGCCGGGGAGCAGAGCACCCCCCAGCCCCCGAGGAGCUGAGUUUUAAAAUGUUUCUGUGUGUUCAAGGGGCUUGUCCUCCUGCUAGGGAGAAUUCUGGUAAGAAAGCUCCCCCUCUCUGAGGUACGUCAUAGAUCCCACUCAGCUAAGUCCUCCAGAGAGCCCUCCAGAGAGGUGCUGUUUGCUUCACAGACCAGAAGGACCUGUAUGUGGUUCUAGCGCAUAUUUAAAAAUUCUCUCUCCCCAAUUCUUUCAAUUUUGUGUAUUUCAUAAAUUUUCUGGUUUAAGUUGAUGGGUUGUUGUAGAUUACAUUUUGUUUUGGCCGUGUGGUUCUUGGAGGUGGGGAUUUAUUGUUUUGUUCCACAUAAAAUGGAAGGUGGUAUACUGUGGACAGACAGCUCAACUUGGAUGGGCAAUUUUUUCUAGUUAACUAGAAAUUAUUAUUAUUAUUUUCAGGAGCAGUUUUGUGGUUCAGUGGUGAUGCUUUUACCUUAAAGGUUGGUUGGUCGGUUGGGGGGUGUGUGUCCGCACACGUACACAGUUUCAUGGGGCUCUUGACCUGAGUCCUUCAGUGUAUUUAUCUUUCACAUCUUCAGUGCUUCUUAGCAUAUUUAGAUUGUUCUAAAUUGUUGGUAACAGUUACAUAAUCAUGCUGCAGUGAAGAAGUUUUAUAUCUGGUGCAAAACAGACCCCAAAAUGGGACGUUGGAAAAAAAAAACUCAUUUGAUGAAGUGAAUGAGAGUAGAAAUCCUAGCUAACCAGUUUUGUUACAAGAUACAUCACAUCUGUGUUUGAUAGAAUGGACUUGAGGCUGGUGUAAAGGUCCUUUUUAUUAACGGUGAUAGGAAUUGUUUCAGUGGGCUUAAGCUAAAGCUAUCAAACAAACUUUAAAAUCUCAGUGGCACAGCACGUAAGAUGUCAUUGCUUUUCAUGUGAAGUCUGUUGCGGGCUGGCAGCUCUCGAGCAGCUCCUUUCCAGGCAGUGACCCAGGGUCCUGCACCCCCCACCCCCACCUCUGCCCGUGCUCCCAGGCGGCCACUGUAAGGAGAGAGCCAGCAGGCCACGCAGGUGCUUUUAAAAGCUUCAGACUGGAAGCGCUGUGUCACCCUUGCUCGCAGCCCAUUGGCCAGAACUUGUCACCUGCAGUGUGUGGAGGUGCAGGGGUGCUGGGCAGUGUGGAAGAGCCCUUGGGCCUUCUCCGUGCAGUGAACCACGUUGCCAUUCUCCUUGGAUUAUCUCAUCCAGGCUCACUGUGCAGAUAGAUAAACCAGGUUAAGGCUUAGGCCUGAAGCAUAGAACACAAGGAGUCAAGUGGUCCUCAAAGUGUGAGGCUCAGAGUGGCAGCAUCACCUGGGAGCUUGUUGGAAACACAGAUGGUUAGGCCCCACCCCAGACCUUCCAGUGAGAAACCAGAGGUGGGGCCCAGAUCUGUUCCAGUGAGCUCUCGGGAAGCAUGUUAACAUUUGAGAAGCACGGCCCUGGAUGAACGGGAUGUCUUCGGGGCCUGGGCUGCUAGUUAGCAGAUCAGCCCUGAAGUCCUGAUGCGCACGGGGGAAUUGGUGCUCUCCUCCCCAGACUGUGUGUAUUUUUCUAUGUUUUUGGCCCACACAUGCAGGAUCUUAGUUCCCUGACCAGGGAUUGAACCCAUGCCCCAUGCCCCAUGCAUUGGGAGCGCAGAGUCUUUCAACCACUGAACCACCAGGGAAGUCUUCAGACUCUGUUUAAGCACUUUCCCAGGGUAACUCCUCUGUCUCGCAGCAGCCACGUGAAAUAGGUGUUACUGUCGUCUCAAGAAAACUGAGGCCAACAGAGGUCCUGCAGCUGAGGGUGGUUCCGCCACAGCAGGCAAGUGGAAGGGGCCGGAUUUGAACCUGGGCAGCGUGGCUCCCAAGUCCGCUUCUUCACCAGCCCCUGUGCUGUCCUGCUUGCUGGCCACCCCGCGGCCGUUUUGUCGCCGUCUCUUGGGCUGGCGGCAUGAGCAGGAAGCGUGGUAUGUCGGUUUCAGAGCACACCGCGCGGAGCCCCCCGCAGCAGCUUCGUUCGUGCCAGGGCUGGGGGUGCACGGAGUAGCGGCCAGGAGUAGCGGGGGAGACGUCUGCUCGGAGUGAGGCGGUGCCAUCGCACCAGGGAGUGCGCUCUUCAGUCAGCCCGUGUGUCAGCUCUGGGCUGGGAUCAACCCCUGUUCCCAGCUAGGGCCUGACUCCAUGAGGGGGUCUGAAGACGCUAUCUGAGUUUGCAUAGGGAAGUAUGUUUUUUUCUUCAAAGAAAAUGGAUAAGAGGGUUCUCUUUCCACUUGGGAAAUUCAGGUCAAGUUAGAUGCGAUCCAGUCUUUUGAAUUUUGACCCGAUUGACACAGAUUUUCUGAAUGGCGCUUAGGAGGAGCUUCUGGGCGGUUCCGUUUCCUUGCACCCUUGUCAGGUUUUUUAUGAUUAGCUGCAUGGUCGUUCUUCCCGAUGGGUCUGUUGUGUGUUGCUGCUGAAGUGUGCCCUGCCAGCCCCUGCUUUCUUUUCCCUUCUUGUCUCUUGGGCUCAGCAGCCUAGAAAUGAGCGGACUCCUGCCCGGGAUGGGAUCAGUUUUGGCCGUAGGUAGAGGAUAAAGAUAGCAUCACCCCUUUCGGUUUCCAUGUUGGCUGAGAACAGCUGCAGCGCUUCGUAUAGCUCUGAACAUAACAUCUCAUUCCAGAGUCACUGAAGUUUUUAGUUUUCUGCAAGCCAGGGCUUAACCACGGGGUUUUCACAUUCAGACUCAGUUGCUUGUUCAGUUGAGUAAUUUAAGAGAACAGAGAUGAUGGCGGGGGAGGGAGGAGACCAUUUGUGUGUUUCUCCAGAGAGCCAGGUCCUUCCUCUCGUUCAUCACUUUCAGCAGUUUUAAUUUGUUGAGGUGCUCUAGCAGGGGUGUAGAUAAUUGAAGUUAAUCUUGAGUCAGGUCUAAACAAAAGAGAAAACUGACCUGAAAAAGAACAACUGAAGUCACACUAAUUGAAUCACUGGGCCCUGCAUGCGGGUCUGCUGGGACCAGCUGACCUUGGGAUGCAGUGCCCAUGCUCAGGGUGGGCCGCAUGCCUCUCAGGAAUGGCUGACUCUCGGGUCCCCAACAGUUCCCGGCUGCAUUCCACACCGAGGAGCAUCUGGGUGAGAGUUGCAAAGUUCAGCCCUGGUGAAAAAAAACACCAUGAAAGCCAUUUGGAGUGGGUUGGGCGUUUGGAGGUUUCUCUCUCCCCUCGCAGACCUGGCGCCCUCGCUGUUUGUAGAUGGCAUACACUUGUUUACUGGUGAGGGGAGUAGCUGCUUGUGUGAAUCAGGCAUCUGCUGGAAGAAACGUAACAGGCUUGCUGCAAAUAGCAGGAAUGAAAGAUGCAGCCCCUUGACAUUUUCUCCCUUCCCCUUAGCCAGCUAUCCAGAGUCAGAACAGAAUGCUGGACUCACCCUGAGUAGCAGGAGCGGGCUCCAGAGGGCCCCUGGCCCCUCUCCUGGGCCCAUUCUCGCGGUCACGUGGUUGUAAAGACCUAAGCUAAGAGCUCCCCCCCCCAGCCCUGUUCAGCCACUGUGCUCCCUGUCGCCGCUUCUCUGGGGUCCUUGCUCCUGGAGCUCCCAGUUCCCCUUUUCUCUUCCUCCUCCUUGCAGCGUAUGGCCCACUGCCUGUGUUCUUGAGAUUACUAAUCGGCAGUGUCCGAGUGCCGCUUCGUGCUCGAGGUUAGGACCCUCCACCUCUGCGCCUCCUUCAGCUCCCCUGGUCUCUCUCUUCCGUAGGGUUCCACGCCCUGUCCUUGCUGACGCUUCCACACUCGUUCUCGCUCCUGGGGACCUCGUUCCUCCCAGCCCUGGUUCUGUUCCGUGUCCGUGGCUCAGAAUGGCUGUUCUUCAUGCCCCAUCCUGUACCUUCUCAUCUCUGAAUCUCAGCCCAGCCGGCUCAGGCCUCCCUCCUCUGUGCAGGGCGGAUCACACCUGCGCUCCUGAGCCCUGAUUUCUCACUCUGGUACCAAGACCCUCCCUUCUCACCCACUCCAUUUCUUCACUUGCCAAGUGUCUAAAAAAUAAGUGAGCCCAACCCCUUUAACAGUUGAAAACUUCUUCCAGGAAGUUUGAGCCUGUGACCAGAGUGACUUCCUGCUCAGCUCCCUCUGCUCGGCAGCGUGUUCCAGGCGGCCUCCAGGUCUCUGCAGUUCUUUGAAAGGCAUUCAGGUUUAUCUUUCCCUCUCUGUUCCCUUUGUUCCCAUUUCCAGUCUGGUCUCCCUCCCCUGCGGUCCCAUGCCGUGUUCAAACAGGUUUCCUUAAAACUCUGACCUCAUCAUCUCGUGCACGCCCCAAGCCCACACCCCUGCUGCCCCGGCCCAGCGGCCCUCGCUCCCUGUGACCGGCCCUCGUACCCUGUGCGGGCAGGACCCAGCUCCCCGCCUUCUUGUGGUCCUUUCUGGGUAUCAGCUCCCCGAUCCUCUCUGCCACCUUGGACACUCCUCCACUUAGACAAGCCAGUGGUUUUUCUGGACUUACAAUGAGGAUUGUGUAGGCAGCCCUGAGCUCUCUUACCUUCUCAGGGUCUCUGCUUUGUUCUGCUCAUCCAGGUGCUAAGCUCCGGAGCGCCUCUUCUCCCCUCCCCCCACUAUCGCCCCAUCUGCCCUCGCCGGUCUCAUAGCAGACGGAUAGUUACUAAUUGAGGGAACAAUCAUCAGGCAAUAUUUAUGGGCCUUAGGUGGAGUAGUUUUUCCCGCCACCUUUUGAAGGGAGAUUGCAGGUCUCAUUUGUUUAUUUUUACAGACAGGUUUUUUUUUUUUAACCUCUGACAGCUUGAAGGCCAGAAAAAAAUUGGUUAGUUUUCACCUUCAAAGGAGACAUAAGAAAACAAGGACCAAGCCAGCACCACUCCCCCCACCCCCCACCACAACCACCUUUUAAUCACACUCACCAUGAUCACUUUCCCCUGGUUGUGACUCUCGAAUUUUGCAGCUGAUAUAAUCCUCCCUUUUAUAGCCAAUUUAUUUUAUUAUGCAUUGCAGUUCAAGCAAGUACUACAUAGAGGGAAUCGGUUUUAAUUCUUGGUUCCUAUUUAAAAGGCUCACUAAUGCCCCCAUUACCUUUUGUUAAUUGCAAAACAAACAUCCUCCAGAAGACCACCCUCUAUUCUGGUACUCCUUUGAGAUUCCCAGGAAUUGCUAGUACUUGGGCCAUAUUUACACCUGUACGUGGAUCUUAGAACAAACCUCCUCGGUGCCUUUGAUGGUCUAGAGUUGGUGAGAAUAGGCACCAUCUUAACCUAACGGCAUCAGGAAACUAACUUGGUUCCAUCGGUUAUUUCUGGAAUCACAGAAACAGAACAAAACCACGUAAACACAGUGACGCAGAGAGGGCUCACAAAGACCUCUCCCCCCUCCUUUCUGGAGGGUGAAUUCUGUCCCAGAAUUUAACUGUUCAUAGCAAGCAUUAGGAGCGUGUGGGGGAAGUUGACGUCACUAACUUUCACUGAGUUGUUGUCGUGUAUCAGACACUAUUUGAAGUGAAUUGCAUGGUUCCAUCUCGUCUUCAGAGGAAAAAGGAAGGUUUGAAAAUUCGGUCAAAUUUAUGGACUCUUCCCUGUGCUGGCCCCAAAUGAUACCACAUCAGGUUUACAUAGUUUCAAAGGCAUGAGUCUUGCACCUGCCUGUAGAGUGGGGCUCAUCCACCUGAGCACAUCACCCCUACUAGGUGGCCCAUAAUGGGCCUGGAUUUUUAGGAUAAACUAAACAAAAGCCUACUGUGUGCCGGGCCCUUGGCUUCAAUUAAAGAUACGUUAGAAGGGAGAAAGAGAGGGAACAGUUUCACGUCUUAAAAAGAGUGCAGUUGGAUUUCUUUCUUUCUUGCAGUUGGAUUUCUUUCUUUCUUGUAUCAAAAAAAAUAUAUAUAUAUAAAUCAAAUUUACAGUGACAUUAAAUUAUACUUUUAUUUAUUUUACUUUUAUUUUUAAAGACUCACUCUAGUCCCAUGACAUGUCUCAUUUCAGGUUGCCUCUUCCAGACUUUAUCUGUGAAUGUAACAUAGAAUGCCUGAAUGUCCUAGGUUGCUUUUUAACCUCGGUCUAACUCACCAACGUUUCCCCGUGUUUUCAGAUGUUGACCUUGACGUGUGAGGUGGGGCCAGGCCUGAGCAGGUUUAGGGUGGAUGGGGCAGGGAGCUGGUGACGCACCUGGAAGAAGUCAGCCUGGCUUAGGAGAUGUCCUUCUCUUGUUGGUUUCAUGGGUUGUUUCCCUUUGUACAUUGAAGCUCUGAUAAACCGUGGGGAGAAUGAAGAAUCAUAGUAAAAAAGUAAAUUACUUUUGGGGUCAGCUCACUGCCCUCCCAUGCCUGACAGUUAAAACCAUACAUGAUCCAUCUUUAUUCUUGUUUUAGGGCUUGAAAGGGCUUCUCUGGUGGCUCAGAUGGUAAGGAAUCCACCUGUGAUCCAAUGCAAGAGACCCAGGUGUCAGAGACCCAGGAAGAUCCCCUGGAGGAGGGCAUGGCAACCCAUCCAGUAUUCUUGCCUGGAGAAUCCCAUGGACAGAGGAGCCUGGCGGGCUGCAGUCCAUGGGGUUGCAAAGAGUCAGACAUGACUGAGUGAUUUCACUCAGGGCUUGAAAACCCUGGGAAGCAAAUGAAUUAAGGACUCCAAUCCAGUAACUCAGGCUUACUGGAGAAAAAGAGUACCAUAGACCUACACUGUCCCGUGCAACCGCCCGCCAGCCACACGUGGCCUUUUGAAUUUAACUGAAGUGAAUACUUACAGUUUAGUCUCUUGGUCACAUUAGCCUCAUGUCAUGUGCUCAUGGGCCUCGCGUGGCUCAAGGCUAAGAGACUAGACGGCAAAAAAGGUUCUUUUCAUCUUCAGACAGCGCUGCUCUAGACCAUACCCAUUCAGUAUAGCGUUCUACCCAGCACCUCACGUGCGUCUUGCAGGCUAGGCUCUUGGAAAGAGGGAGGAUGGGUCUUGUCGGUCUCUUGUUUUACAUUUGUUAGAGUGUUGUGUAGACUUGUAAUGUGUAAGGGAAGGCUUUUGAAGCGCUCCUUCCCAUGCCAGCAGCCGAUUGGACAAUGAAAGCCUGCGCGUGCGCAGCUGCAUGUGUUAGCUAUGCCGUUCCCCACAACUGGUCCAGCUUCCUGUGCCUGGCGGCACCCCCUUCCUUCCCGCCUCCCGUCCUUGCUCACCUCCCCCAGAACCUUCUCCUUUUUUCCAUCUGCUCCUUUCUGGCUAGGGACAGUCUUUGGUUUUCUUUUAAACAGAAGCCCUUGCUUGGUCCUGCUGCUCAGUAACCAGUCCCUUCCUGCUGCAUGCUCUUUGUUAUCUCCUGUGCUGGGAAUUGCUCCUGCGUGAAGCUGACUGCUGUGUGGCUGCUCCCUGACCUUCGCCCUCACUCCCCAUGGUCAGGCUGGUCCCUCGGUGAUGUUUUCCUGGCACCCCCCACCCCCAUUCCUCAGGUCGUCCCUAGACUGCAUUGCAGUAGCUUCCUGACUGGGUUAUAUGCUCUGAUCAUCAAUUUUUAAAACUGCUGCCAAGAGUUUUUGAAAAUAUAGUUACGAUUAUUUCAUCCCAAAGGUUGCUCUCUUUUUUUGUUUUUAAGAAGAGGGGUGGGGUCUUCAGUGGGUUCCCACAGCCACAGGGUAAAGUUCACCGCUGUGAGCGGAGCUGUGACCCCUGCGUGGUUGUGCUCACCCUCCGCGCUUCCUCUUUUGCACAGUGGGCUGGUGCAGCCCCAGGACUCCCAAGGGUUUUGUUUGCCGGGGCAGAGACUGAAGGCAGAGCUUUGGCAGUUACACAGGGGAUUGCCAUUUUUUUCUUAUGCCAAGUAAGGGCAUUAAAAAAAACUGUCUGAACCAUCUACUGUCUUUAUCAUUUCCUCUUAAAAGAGGGCAUUUUAACCUAAAAAAAAAACCACACACACACAUUCAAGCAUUGUGAGAAUCUUAGUAAAUGGUCUGGCUUUCCGCAUUUUGCUGGGGAAGCGUGGAAACGUGGGCCUAUAGGGGCUGGUGCCUCCACUGCUCCUCUGGGGUCUCCGUGCUCUUCCCUCGUGUGUUUCCUUCUAACUGGAACGCCCUGUCUUCUGGAAGCUGGAUCUUUCUACAUGCUCAGGGUUGCUUUUGCCCCACUGCCCUCACACUUGAUGACUUACCACUGGAGAGCCCUGCAGCCUUCAAAGGUUUUGGCUCCUAAUCCAUUUUCCCUGGGAUGCAAAUGGGUCUCUUUGAGUCUUGUCUGCUCCUGUCUCCCCACUCUCGGGGGUUCUGACACCUGGAAGCUGAGUAGACUAACGUGUGAGACUGAACAUCAUUCCAUCUCUGGGUUUCACAACGAGACCCAAUCUUGCCCUACAUCUUGGGCACAAAAAUAGUAUGGAGCAUCUAACCCUUUUUAACCCCCACAAGGACACGCAUUUUCUGUGCGCUCGGCCAGGCCUUGGCUCUGAAGGCAGCAAGAAUGGGCCUGGAACUCCCAACUGUGGAAAACUGAAAACCUGUUUGGUGACUGAGGGCGUAGUAAUAAUUGUGAGAGUUUUAAGGCCUGACGACUCUGAUGGAUUAAUGUGUCCCUUUGUUUUCUCUUUCUUCAAGCUAAAAAAAUUACAACAUUUGCCUGGUUGUCAGUGAGAAUGAUAUUUGACUGUACAUUUGAGUUGCACGGAAUGUGUGACUGGCACCAUUUGCACGGUACUUUGAAAAUCUCGGUGUAAGGCCGGCGGGACUAGAAUUACUUUGUAUAUCUGUCUUCCAAACUCUGGUCCCAUUACAGGGCUCUUGGCUGAUAGAGUGAAAAAAGUCGUUGCCACAAUUAGUAGGUGCUUGUGGAUGAAGCCUUUGAAAGGGUUAUACUUUGGCUCCAGCACAGCAUUAGGAGUUAACUGCAAAGUAUAAUGAGACACUGAGGUCUCCCCCACACCCCCCCCCCCAACCUCCCCAUCUUUCCUGUGAACAGCGUUUUCACUGCAGCCAGGUACCAAACUGUAUAACCUGUUAGGACUUUCCCCCCCACCCCCCCACCCUUAGGAAAAUUCUGUUUCCAGAUUGGAAACCUGCCAAGAUGUCCCUGGCCUCUCAUACAGUUUUGGAAAAGUGUCAGUUACAAUUCCGAUCUGUUAAGUAACCAGGGGGCCACUCUCUUGAGUUACAUUCUGACUUCUGCGUUUUCCUAGUGGGGCCGGCAGAGCAUGAAACCGGGUUUGUGUGGACAUGGGCAUGCCUGGGUGCAGUGGACGACUGCGUUUCCCUUCCAGAGCUGUGAUGAAGCAUCUCCACGGAGCUUUGAAAAAGUUUCCUCAGGCAUAUUCAGGGAGCUCGGUAGAUGCCGUUGUUUCGCAAGUUUUCUGUUUUCUUUGUCUGUACAGGUUGUUCCUGCCUUCACGGCUGGGAGGAAAUUGAGGAUGUGGAGCGCUUGCCGUUUGGCCGUGGGGCUGGCUCCUGUCCUCAGUCGGGCCAGUGACCCGACCCAGUCCUCUGGCAACAGGAGAGGGGCCCACCGGGCGCAGCGUGGCCGCUCCGGUCUCUGUAGACGUUUUUACUCGUGGUAUCUAGCCUCAAAAAAGACCCUGAAAGUGCCGGCUCCCUUGUGGAGGCAACUUAGCCCUUAGUCCUCGUGGGCAGGGGUCUGGGGUCGGGGUUUAAUGCGUGACCGCGCCUGUGUCGCUCAUUUGCCACCGUUUCCCCCACAGCCUGGCCUGUGUCACCGCUCCACCACCUCUCCCACCCAGCCCUCUCACCUCCGAGCCUGGGAGGAGCUGGGGGGUUGUUUGCUUCCUAGGUUAGGAAGUGUUUUCUUUUGUUCUUAAUUGGCUCUGGAAGGAUUCCUCAUAUCCCAGAAAGGAAUUCUGGGGGACCGGUUCAAACAUCUGAUCUUAUCGUCCCCAGAACCUGUUCACUUCACACAUGCUGGUGUAACGCCAAGAAAGUGGAAGUCCUGGCCUUGAACUCAGGGAGCCGGGGCCCUCUGUGUGUUGUGGAGGGUGCACGCCCUGUGGUCGUCCCACCCUGGAAGUGGCACACAGCCCCACAUCCGCCUUCACUCAAAGGGGCGGAGUUUGGGCCCAGAUAAUUCACGGGAACUCUCCGGGCAUGAAGCAGGUGGAAGUCUUUGGAGACCAGGCCUGGGAACACCCAGGCGUCCUGGCAGACUUGAGUCUUCCAGGCAAGUGAGGCCUGGGAAGGCCGUCAGAGGCCACGGCAUGUCCUCGCUCUGCAGAGGAGAGGUCUGGGUGUCCCAGGGUGCCUGCUUAUUAACGCAGGGAAGCACGUGGCGUGCUGCCUGCGUUCCAGUGAUUAAGGGAUGUUAUUAAAUGCUCCUGAAUUAUUUUAAUAAUAGCAGUGUAAACGCAGACAUUAACUGGAGCUACUGUAGCUGACUUCUGGGCUUUCUGGACUUGGAUGAAGAGAGGCCCUUAGUUUAGCUGUGGACAGAAAGCACAUGUGUGUGUGAGCCUGGGAAGCAAGUUCUCCUUGGAAGUGGCCACCUCUCCCACUCGCAGGCCCAGGGAGGGCUAGGCCCCCAUGCUCGGAGGCUUUUAAAGCUGGAACUGAAAUGGAUGUUGGGUGGGUGUUGCUCGGCACGGUUCCAGGGUUUCGAAGGCCGGCCAUACUUUGAACAAGUUAAACAGCCCCUCUCUGCAAGCGGCAGGAAGCUCAGUGCUGGCUUCGUGCUGUUGCACGGGCAGGUCAGCGGGAGAUAAAAGGCCGCGACUGUUGAGGCGAGUCCCCUCCUAUCGCUGGCUGGCAGACUGUGGAGGGGAGAUAAAAGGGGGGAGCAGGGAGGUUCUUUCUGAGCAGCAUGAGGGGGCCUUUAUCACAGGCAUGCAAGUCGAGCCAGGGGUGUGCGGGAGACCCUUAGCUGCACGCUCGCACGCAUGCUAGCUCUCCGGGAGGACCCCGGCAGGGUUUCCCAAACACAUGCGAUCAGGUCUGUGUCGCGGGAACACCGGCAGAGGCCGGGCUUUUUCAGCCACAGCAGUCCUACAGAGUGUGGGUAACAAUCACGUCAGUUUAAGUUAAGAGGGCAUCAGCCGGCGUUUCCCAGCGGAGGAGUGGGUCCCACAGGAGGGACCAGGCCUGAGCAGACCGCGGACCCUCAGGGGGCACCCGAGGCCGCGGCGUGCCCUUGACUUCUUGCUGUUCUCUGGGGCAGCCAGGUUCUCAGCCAGGGCAUAGAGCCGACGGGAGGGGCCCUGGUGUCGAUCCCCCGUUUGAGGUGUCCCUUCCUGCCCCGUGUCACUUUGGGGAGAGCUAAGGGCUUGCAGGGGGGUACUGGCUUUCUCAGGAUGGGGCUUGUGAAGUGUGGCCCCCACCUUGAAGAGCCGGGGCCUGGGCAGCGUGAGCUCAGGCAGAUGCAGAGAAGGACGUGCUUUCGGCCCGUGGUGACUGGCUCAGACCAACAAGGCCAGGGGUUUGGCCCUCGGUGUUGCUUCAGUCAGACACCCCAGGAAGUGCAGUUGUUGUGAACUAAUCACCCUCCUGGCUGUGGGGAGAAGCACCAAGACGGUCUGCGAGCCUCAGGCUUCCUCCAGCACUGGCUGGCCCACCACGGCCUGACUCCCCAGCCGCCUCUGCCCAGCAGCUCCUUGAACCUGGGGGCUGGAGGAUGGAGACCGCACCCCAGAGUCCCCUCUCCUGCCAGGAGCCGCUUUGGGGUUGCCUCAGUUUGCGUGAAGAAACACCAUUUGCUUGCUAGUGUCUUUGGUUGGCUGGCCUGUGAUAAACACAUAUGAGCUUCAUAUAUCUCAAGAGUGUUUGUUUUUCUUCCUAGACAGAGUAGUGAAUAAUUCUCUUAGAGGCAAAGUAGAAGGGAGAAUGGCCGCCCGUGAGGAUGCCCGGCAGGCAGCCCUCCGAACCGCUGGGUGCCAGCUCCGUGGCUGGAGUCAUUCUCAGCUGACGGCUUGUAACGUCCUUCAGCCACUGUGGGAUGAGGACCCCAGCUGACUGGCGGGCCGCCGGCGGGCAGGAGAGGGAGCUGUGACCUCCACUGCCCCUGAGCAUUUCCAGCCGCACUUGCAUCUUCCACAAAGUCACUGGGGUCUUCUAAGGGGCGUCGUGCUGAGCACCGCCCCCCCCCCCGCCCCCGAAUUCUGGGAAUGUGCAGUCAGACUCGGGGUUAACCACCUGCCCUGGCGCUCAGCUCGCCUCCAGCUCCUUCCCCCUCAAGGGAGAAGCGGAGAAUCCUGUUUCUGAAGCUUGACCCUUUACCGAGCCUGUGGGAGAGGAGCGCCCAGCUCAGGGCCUGUGAAAGAGUUGCAGGAUAUUGCCUAAAACUCCCUGCAAACUGCUUCUGAACUUUACCCCAGCUUCCUCCCCGGGGCUGUAAAUGCGACUGAAGGCACCGAGCCCCUGUCAGAGGAGUGUCCAGAGCAGCCCAGGCGCUCCCGCCCAGCUGCUGAGAGGCGGGCGAGCAGCAGGCUGGGCUGCAGCUGCCCCGAGGCCAGGCGCUCCAGCCGCCUGAGGAGAGGCAGCACAGGGUGGGCAGAGCCAGUCGCAGACUUCCCCGAUUAAGCAUAUGUGAGGCCGGCCAGGAUUUGUUUCAGCAGCGACCUGAAGCCGGAGGCGUUUUAUUUCCUGCUGGCCACACAGCCCCGCGAGCUGGCAGCAGCUGUUCCACUCCUAAUUGUGGAUGGGGUUGCAUUUGUGAUAAGCUAAAUUAUAUUUAUAUUUCAUUGUUACACUUAGGGGCUGGAACAGAAUUUUUUUUUUUAAAGAUCAGCACACUGGGCCUUGCCCGCCAAGUGUUGGCAAUCCAAGAGGGCAUGGCCGCCAUAGGUGGUGGAGGGGCUGGGGAGGGCCAGCCCCAAGCCGAGCUAGCCUGGAAUGUCGGGGGUGCCGUCAGCAGCUCACAGGAGGUGCUGUGCUGUUUGUGAAGUGUUUCAGUUAAUAUUCCUCUGACCGAUUUCUGUGAAGUACGGAGGGCUUGUAUCACCAGCUGCGUUUUCCAGCUGAGGGGACUGUAGCUCAGGGAGUAGAAGUUGCUCCGCUUGUGGCAGGCCGUGUCCAGUGCAGGCUGGGGGCCGCCCAGCGCGCACUAUUUGGGCUGUUGUGCACCCUUCUGUGACUCACAGUGGGAUGAAGAGGGCGCUGUCCUCUUGGAAGCACUGAAUCUGGAAGUCAGAAGGCUCAUCUGACUUGGUCUCCCCCCUCACCGCCCCGCAGGACAGCGUUGUGGUUAGCCACCCUCUGUUGAUUACUUCCAGAGACCGCAAGCUCAUUACUUUACGGGGCCUCGUUCCAUCUGUGGGCAGCUCUGGCUGUUCAGAACCCUGGUAUAAAGGAUGAUGGCAUUCCAACCAGCUCUUCAGUGCCUCCCACCGAGACUGAGUUCCUAUCGUGGUGGACACAGAGGUCAAGUGUGCCUCUCCUGCGUGCCAGGCCUUCAGGUGUCUCCACUUCCUUCAGCCAUUCUCCCCCUUCACUGGGUUUCCCAGUACUCUAGUUUGCUAAUCGCCGUCUCCAAAUGAUCUUUCCAUGAUGCUUUUUUGUGGCAUCAGAAAGUGCCAGAAUUUCAGAGUCAGACAACUGGUCUAGAAUCCUGGCCCCGUCCCUGAUACAGCUUGGGGAAGGAUCAAAUGUAUACAAAGCACCUUCCCUGGUUUCUGGCCCGGAGUUUAUGCCCCAGUAGAUAGUGUUCUUGUUGCUCAGUUGCGAAGUCACUAAGACUCUUUGCGACCCCAUGGUCUGCCCCACGCCAGGCUUUCCUGUCCUUCACUGUCUCCCAGAGUUUGCUCAAAUUCAUGUCCAUUGAGUCCGUGAGGCUAUCUAACCAUCUCAUCCUCUGCGGCCCUCUUCCUUUGCCUUCAAUCUUUCCCAGCAUCGGAGUCUUUCCCAGUGAGUCAGCUCUUCAUAUCAGGUGGCCAAAGUAUUGGAGCUUCAGCUUCAGCAUCAGUCCUUCCAGUGAAUAUUCAGGGUUGAUUUCCUUUAGGAUUGACUGGUUUGAUCUCCUUGAAGUCCAAGGGACUCUUCCAGCACCACAGUUCAAAAGCAUCAAGCCUUUGGCUCUCAGCCUUCUUUAUGAUCCAACUGUCACGUCUGUACAUGACUACUGGAAGAACCGCAGCUUAGACUGUGGGCCUUUGUCGGGCAUAUGAUGUCUUUGCUUCUCAGUAUGCCGUCCAGGUUUGUCGUAGCUUUCCUUUCAAGCAGUGUGCAUGUGCGCUCCCUUAGUUGUGUCUGAGGUUGUUGAUGUAUCUCCUGGCAAUCUAGAUUCCAGCUUGUGAUUCAUCCAUCCAGCAUUUCUCAUGAUGUACUCUGCAUAUAAGUUAAAUAGGGUGACAGUAUACAGUCUUGUCUUAGUCCUUUCCUAAUUUUGAACCAGUCAGUUGUUCCAUAUAAGGUUCUAACUGUUGCUUCUUGAUUUGCAUACAGCUCUCUCAGGAGGCAGGUCAGGUAGUCUGGUAUUCCCAUCUCUUUAAAAAUUUUCCAGUUUGUUGUGAUCCACAGAGUCAAAGUUUUUCUCAUAAUCAGUGAAGCAGAUGUUUUUCUGGAAUUCCCUUGUUUUCUCUUAUGAUCCAACAGAUGUUGACAAGUCUGAUCCUCUGCCUUUUCUAAAUCCAGCUUGAACAUCUGGAGGUUCUCAGCUCCUGCACUACUGAAGCCUGGCUUGAAGGCUUUUGACCAUAACCCUCCUAGCAUGUGAAAUGAGCAUGGUUGUCUGGCAGUUUGAACGUUCUUUGGCAUUGCCUUUCUUGGGGAUUGGAAUGCAAACUGAUCCUUUCCAGUCCUUUGGCCACUGCUCAGUUUUCCAGAUUUGCUGACAUACUGAGUGCGGCACUUUAACAGCGUCAUCUUUUAGGAUUUGAAACAGCUCAGCUGGAAUUCCAUCGCCUCUCCUAGCUUUGUAGUAAUGCUUCCUAAAGUGAAACUGAAGUCGCUCAGUCCUGUCCAACUCUUUGCAACCCCAUGGACUGUACCUGCCAGGCUCCUAAACCUUAUCCCCUGCAGGCACUCUUGUGAGCAGUCUCCUGCCUUAGGGAAGACCCUGCCAUGCCCUGCCCCAGGGGUAGGUGAGCAUGUCCUGCUGCUCAGCCCGAGGGCUCCCCCACCUCCCUUCUCAGCAGCUUCCUUGUGGAGCAGAGAGCCAUACAGGUUUCUGCCAGGUUGGGCAAGAAGGUGAUGAAAUACUAGAUCCUGGAGGCCAGGAAAAGACUGGCUCACCUGGGGAGAGGGACAGCUGUGCCCGAGGGUCGCCAGGCCCCUCCCCACAGAGAGGCCCCUGGGAGGGGGCGCUGGCCGGGAGGGGGCGCUGGCCACGCGGUGGCGGGGUCACGUCGGCUCUGGAAGCAGUGAGAGCAUCCUGCACUUGGGCGGUGGGGGUGCACAGGAGAGGAGCCCACUCCUCACAGGAAAGGCCCCAAGGAGGGAUGCGGGAGGCACGUGGGUCCCACAGCUCCUUCCAGCGGGGACCAGGACAUCUCCCCGCCUUCCCCGCGGUUCAUAUGUUAAGUAGUGAAUUUACUCAGGCUCACGUAGAUAGGUUUGGUGAGCAGAACCCAGUCUCCCCAGCCAACACGCCUCCUUGCUGACAGUGUGUGUAAUGUCGCAAUUAGAAUAUCCAAGUGGUUUUUAUUUUUUAAAGAGAGACUGUCCCUGUCCCUUAAGGCUCUCUUUCCUGCCACAUUAUCCUGAGAAUUAAAGUGUCUCUUGACAUGAAGACAGUACACCUUCUUCCUGAAAGGUAGCAUCACAGUCUGUGUUAACCCUGGGCUCCAUGAGGGCCCCGAUACCUGGGCAGGAAGGGGCAGGCACUCCAGGCUCUGGGGACAAUGUCCAUUCCAUUUGCCUCCCUCCACUGUGGGGUCCC